rnacentral:misc_RNA from 1 species
CGUCAAAAAGGGGACGGAGGGGAUUAAGUCGUUUUAGGCACAAACGACUUAAUCCCCUCCGUCCCCUUUUUCCAG